ACCUCCGAAGUCUCCUCCUCGCCGAUUGCUUCCACUCGGCGUGUUCAACGAAUACCCUCCUUAUCAAGGGAUGCCUCAAGCACGGGAACCCUACGGUUCGUCGGCGGCUGAGAUGGUGGUGCUAACAUCUUGUGCGGCGUGAGCCCGACGGACGCACGUUUCACUUCGUUGUCACAGCGUGCACCCAUUUGUUGAGACGGCGCUCAUCUGUAUGCCCUAAAGUGGAACUCCGUGGUAUUGCAGCCGCACGCAAGGUCUUAGCCAUGGGAUUUCCCUAAUGAACUCCGUGGUAUCAAACUUGCUCUCAUCGGUUGCUCUAAAGGCCCUAUGUGCUUCUACAUCCACCUUUACUUCCUGUGUGCAAAUCCAAUUGUGCAAAUUUCUUAUUUUUGUUUCUGUUCAUCCUCAUGCGUAUAGAAUAUAGAUCCUUGGUUAAUUUAUCUGGCCAAUUGCACAAUCGCCUGAUUAAUGGAUUUCUGUACUUGUGGGUCCACCAUCUGAAAAUAGAUCUCGGCCUACCUAACCAACUUCAGGAUUGCACAUUGAAAUGGUCCGAUAGCUCAAGCUUGAAUCAGACUGGUGAUCCUGACCUUUGCCUGGCUUCCCAGUGACAAGCAGCACAUUGUGGGACCUUCAUUUUUAGGUUUGCAGAGGGUAUUCAUUUUUCUACGAAGCAGCAGCAGCAGCUUUUGAUUAGAUUUUUAAAGUCAGGAACGGUUGCUCGGAAUUAUGCAGGAGUAACUUUCAAUAUCCAAUCAUGCCACCUUUUGAAUUGUAUCUGCUGUUGAAUUCCAAUAACAGGACAGCACUAAUCCUUACUGUAGACCCACCAGAAGAUUGUAUGCUCUGUAAAGGCCAAGAAUUUUGAUUGAAAAAAGGUCGAGAAUAGCAAAUGUAUCUUGCAAGUGUCAACAUGUGUGGCUCACCUUAAAUUAAGGAAUCUGCUUCUACUUCAUCAACAUGAUAUCCAGAGACUAAGGCAUGGGCAAGUUGUUACAAGGAUCUCUGGAUUAUCACUUUCUCGGAUAGCAACGAGUAAGAUUUGAUGGAACAGAAAAAGAAUGGCUGUCUCAUAAGAACCAGAGAUGUCUAUUAUAAAACAAAUACCUCUGGUCCACAAGUUACAAAACAUGUGUUGGACAAUGUACAAGUUAUGAGAAUUUGAAAAGAAAGGCUCUGACUUUGGACAAACCGGACACUCUUGGUUAGAAUGAAGUUCGACAUGAUGAUCUAAUAAUGGGUUGACCAUUGGGUAAAUGCGCACACUGGUAUCAGCUCUAAGCUUGAUUUCUUGGCCAACGAUCAACUACUGGUCAUAUUUCAGAGGUUCUUGAUUUAUUGAAAAAAAAAAUAUGGAGAAUUUUGUUGUCACACGGUUCUAUACAGCCAAAUUAACCUUGGAGCAGGUGGCUGGUAUAUUUGCCAGUUUCAGACACAAAGGAAGAAAUAUUUGCCAGUGCCUGCACCUAAUAAUACUCUGUUUUAAAAAAGUGAGGUGAAACCUAACAUUUGUCACCAUGAUGUCUCAACCAAAUUAUUGUCUCUUAUGAAAUAAAUUUGGUGGUUGUAAGAAUUUAGCUUAGCAGAGCAGACAAGAUGGGUCGACCAUCAACGUUAUUGCUUCCUACCAAUUUGGAUGCAUACGGAAACAAAUCAUAUGAGCUCUUCAGACAGUCGAAGUGUCCCCAGCAAUUUGGUAGAGUUAGAAAAGGACCAUUUUUUCUGCUGCUGCUACAAUUGUUCUUGCAUUAGAUUUCACUUCAGCUGCCACCGUAUAGUAUCACUGUCAUAGUCCUAAAACUUGAGGGUAGUGUGAUGAUAUAACAUCUGCACCUGCCUCCGUCAUAUCAUAUCAAAUCAAUUAUAUUGUCAUAUUUUUCAUGUUGUUAUAGUAACAUAAAGUAACUUUGAUGAACA